AACAGGGAACCCGGUGCGAAUCCGGGACUGCCCCGCAGCGGUGAGCGGGAACGACCGCCGUCACGAGCACUGGGCCCGACGGGGCCUGGGAAGCGACGGCCAGUAGGCGAACGCGGAACGCGUCAGCCCGCGAGUCCGAAGACCU
rnacentral:ncRNA from 2 species